rnacentral:rRNA from 1 species
UACGUAGGGUGCGAGCGUUGUCCGGAAUUACUGGGCGUAAAGAGCUCGUAGGUGGUUUGUCGCGUUGUUCGUGAAAACCGGGGGCUUAACCCUCGGCGUGCGGGCGAUACGGACAGACUUGAGUACUGCAGGGGAGACUGGAAUUCCUGGUGUAGCGGUGGAAUGCGCAGAUAUCAGGAGGAACACCGGUGGCGCAGGCGGGUCUCUGGGCGGUAACUGACGCUGAGGAGCGAAAGCGUGGGGAGCGAACAGG